UGCAAGCUGUGUCCCCAUGGAUGGGGGCAGAAACUCCUGCUGGCUGGAGAGGAGCCACCAGAGAGAGUGCCCAGACCCAGAGCUGUCCUAGAUCCAGCUUCCUCCCUGACAAGGAUCUCUGCAUAGAAGUCUGACAGCAGGACUGGAAAGAAGGCUACGAGCAGAUGCCUUCUGCUGAAGGACAACUAGACAUCUCCCCUUUUUCAUUAAACCAGAAAUUAAAGCAGCCCAGUGUCUGUGAAGUAUGCUGAGCUUCUCCGGAGGACACCCAGGCUGAGAACCUUAAUCCACUGGGAAGAAAUGCUAGAGGCCACUCUACCCUGUGAUCCACAGACAUCCUUUUUUCACCAAAAGGGAACAAAAGAAGAAAGUCCCAUCUGUGGUAAUGGUGAUACCAUUAUCCUGGGGCUCUCAUGAAGCUCUGUAAUGCCUAACAGGAAACCAGCCAGCAGAAAUGCACGGGCCUGUCUGGCCCUCCCAAGUCCAUGGCAGCCUCCCACCCAAAGGGGCCAGACCCACACCGUGUGCCUGGGGUGACAGCCCUGCCAGCAACCCUUGGAGCCCUUGGUGCCUGAUAGGAGGCCAGGUCUGAGCCCCACCUCCACCUAAAGAGGACACCUGCUCUGUUCUGCUAAUGACAGGCUAGCUGUGAUCAUGCAGAGAGUGGGAAGGAGGUGAGAAAUCCCCACCCCUUUAAAGAACUGGCUUCUGCACACACCUGCCCCAGGUGAGGUUGGUCUCUACCCUAAAAUGGAUCUGGAGAAUCCCAGCAAUCACUCCAAGCUUUGCAGGUGGCCUUGCUCCUCUGUCACCUAAGCAGUGUGACUGCCUCAGCCAAUAGGCAUCCCAGGCAGGGGCCACAGUGAGCACCUCAGCCUGCAGGCACUUCCACCUCAUGAGCUGGGAAACCAUGUAUAUGAAGAAAUAGCCAAAGUGAAGCUUGUUCCCAGGGAUACAAACCACCUGUGGGGCUGAAUACCUCUUAUCCAAAAAGCUUGGUCCACAAGUGUCUCUGAGUCUAAUCCUGGGAGGGGGAAGGUGUGGAGAGCCGUGAGCAAUUGCCAUCAUGAGCCUCCACUGUGCCUAACUGGUAAACAAGUAAUGUG